GGCCGUCUAGCUCAGUUGGUUAGAGCGUCGUGCUAAUAUCUGAUAUACGCGAAGGUCUUGGGUUCGACCCCCACGAUGGCCA